rnacentral:rRNA from 1 species
GACUAACGCUGGCGGCGUGCCUACUACAUGCAAGUCGAACGCAGUGGGGACGGUUGAGUAACACGUGGGUAACCUUCCCUCAGAGGGGAUAACACUUGGAAACUGGUGCUAAACCGAUACUGAUGGAUGGACCCGCGGUGCAUUCGCUUGUUGGUGGGGUAACGGCUCACCAAGGCCACGAUGCAUAGCCGACCUGAGAGAGUGAUCGGCCACCCUGGGACUGAGACACGGCCCAGACUCCUACGGGAGGCAGCAGUAGGGAAUCUUCGGCAAUGGACGAAAGUCUGACCGAGCAACGCCGCGUGAGUGAAGAAGGUUUUCGGAUCGUAAAACUCUGUUGUUAGAGAAGCGGUAUCUAACCAGAAAGCCACGGCUAACUACGUGCCAGCAGCCGCGGUAAUAC